rnacentral:tRNA from 1 species
UGGCUCAGUUGGUAGAGCUUGGUGUUUGCAACGCCAGGGUUGUGGGUUUGAUUCCCAC